UACGAAGGGGGCUAGCGUUGCUCGGAAUUACUGGGCGUAAAGGGCGCGUAGGCGGACAUUUAAGUUGGGGGUGAAAGCCCGGGGCUCAACCUCGGAAUUGCCUUCAAUACUGGAUGUCUUGAGUUCGGGAGAGGUGAGUGGAAUGCCGAGUGUAGAGGUGAAAUUCGUAGAUAUUCGGCGGAACACCAGUGGCGAAGGCGACUCACUGGCCCGAUACUGACGCUGAGGCGCGAAAGCUAGGGGAGCAAACGGG
rnacentral:rRNA from 1 species